rnacentral:rRNA from 1 species
UACGUAGGGGGCAAGCGUUGUUCGGAAUUACUGGGCGUAAAGGGCUCGUAGGUGGCCAACUAAGUCAGACGUGAAAUCCCUCAGCUUAACUGGGGAACUGCGUCUGAUACUGGAUGGCUUGAGUUUGGGAGAGGGAUGCGGAAUUCCAGGUGUAGCGGUGAAAUGCGUAGAUAUCUGGAGGAACACCGGUGGCGAAGGCGGCAUCCUGGACUGGUAUUGACGCUGAGGCGCGAAAGCCAGGGGAGCGAACGGG